rnacentral:rRNA from 1 species
UACGUAGGGCGCAAGCGUUGUCCGGAAUUAUUGGGCGUAAAGAGCUCGUAGGCGGUUUGUCGCGUCUGUCGUGAAAGCUUGGGGCUUAACCCCAAGUCUGCGGUGGAUACGGGCAGACUAGAGUGAUGUAGGGGAGACUGGAAUUCCUGGUGUAGCGGUGAAAUGCGUAGAUAUCUGGAGGAACACCGGUGGCGAAGGCGGCAUCCUGGACCGACACUGACGCUGAGGAGCGAAAGCCAGGGGAGCAAACGGG